rnacentral:rRNA from 1 species
CCUCCGAUGACUCGGCGGGGAGCUUUCCCCGGGAAACCAAAGCUUUUGGGUUCCGGGGGAAGUAUGGUUGCAAAGCUGAAACUUAAAGGAAUUGACGGAAGGGCACCACCAGGAGUGGAGCCUGCGGCUUAAUUUGACUCAACACGGGAAACCUCACCAGGCCCGGACAUUGGAAGGAUUGACAGAUCGAUAGCUCUUUCUCGAUUCAGUGGGUAGUG